AGAGUUUGAUCAUGGCUCAGGACGAACGCUGGCGGCGUGCUUAACACAUGCAAGUCGAGCGGAAAGGCCCUUCGGGGUACUCGAGCGGCGAACGGGUGAGUAACACGUGAGUAACCUGCCCCAGACUUUGGGAUAACCCUCGGAAACGGGGGCUAAUACCGAAUAUGACUUCCGGCCGCAUGGUUGGUGGUGGAAAGUUUUUCGGUUUGGGAUGGACUCGCGGCCUAUCAGCUUGUUGGUGGGGUAAUGGCCUACCAAGGCGACGACGGGUAGCCGGCCUGAGAGGGCGACCGGCCACACUGGGACUGAGACACGGCCCAGACUCCUACGGGAGGCAGCAGUGGGGAAUAUUGCACAAUGGGCGGAAGCCUGAUGCAGCGACGCCGCGUGAGGGAUGACGGCCUUCGGGUUGUAAACCUCUUUCAGCAGGGACGAAGCGUAAGUGACGGUACCUGCAGAAGAAGCGCCGGCCAACUACGUGCCAGCAGCCGCGGUAAGACGUAGGGCGCGAGCGUUGUCCGGAUUUAUUGGGCGUAAAGAGCUCGUAGGCGGCUUGUCGCGUCGAAUGUGAAAACUCGGGGCUCAACUCCGAGCUUGCAUUCGAUACGGGCAGGCUAGAGUUCGGUAGGGGAGACUGGAAUUCCUGGUGUAGCGGUGAAAUGCGCAGAUAUCAGGAGGAACACCGGUGGCGAAGGCGGGUCUCUGGGCCGAUACUGACGCUGAGGAGCGAAAGCGUGGGGAGCGACAGGAUUAGAUACCCNNGUAGUCC
rnacentral:rRNA from 1 species